UACGUAGGGUGCAAGCGUUAAUCGGAAUUACUGGGCGUAAAGCGUGCGCAGGCGGUGAUGUAAGACAGUUGUGAAAUCCCCGGGCUCAACCUGGGAAUUGCGUUGGAGACUGCAAGGCUUGAAUCUGGCAGAGGGGGGUAGAAUUCCACGUGUAGCAGUGAAAUGCGUAGAGAUGUGGAGGAACACCGAUGGCGAAGGCAGCCCCCUGGGUCAAGAUUGACGCUCAUGCACGAAAGCGUGGGGAGCAAACAGG
rnacentral:rRNA from 1 species